AGUCGAACGCAACCUUCGGGUUGAGUGGCGGACGGGUGAGUAACGCGUGAGAAUCUGCCUUGGGGUCGGGGACAACCACUGGAAACGGUGGCUAAUACCGGAUAAGCCUUUGGGUAAAAGAUUUAUUGCCCCAAGAGGAGCUCGCGUCUGAUUAGCUAGUUGGUGAGGUAAGAGCUCACCAAGGCAGCGAUCAGUAGCUGGUCUGAGAGGACGAUCAGCCACACUGGGACUGAGACACGGCCCAGACUCCUACGGGAGGCAGCAGUGGGGAAUUUUCCGCAAUGGGCGAAAGCCUGACGGAGCAAGACCGCGUGAGGGAGGAAGGCUCUUGGGUUGUAAACCUCUUUUCUCAGGGAAGAAGCUCUGACGGUACCUGAGGAAUCAGCCUCGGCUAACUCCGUGCCAGCAGCCGCGGUAAUACGGAGGAGGCAAGCGUUAUCCGGAAUUAUUGGGCGUAAAGCGUCCGCAGGUGGCGAUUCAAGUCUGCUGUCAAAGCACGGGGCUUAACUCCGUUAAGGCAGUGGAAACUGAAUAGCUAGAGUGCCGUAGGGGUAGAGGGAAUUCCCGGUGUAGCGGUGAAAUGCGUAAGAGAUCGGGAAGAACAUCGGUGGCGAAAGCGCUCUACUGGACGGCAACUGACACUCAGGGACGAAAGCUAGGGGAGCGAAUGGGAUUAGAUACCCCAGUAGUCCUAGCUGUAAACGAUGGAUACUAGGUGUAGCUUGUAUCGGACCCGAGCUGUUGCCGAAGCUAACGCGUUAAAGUAUCCCGCUUGGGGAGUACGCACGCCAAGUGUGAAACUCAAAGGAGUUGACGGGGGCCCCGGCACAAGCGGUGGAGUAUGUGGUUUAAUUCGAUGCAACGCGAAGAACCUUACCAGGGCUUGACAUGUCCGGAAUCCCGGUGAAAGCUGCGAAUGCCUUCGGGAGCCCGGAACACAGGUGGUGCAUGCCUGUCGUCAGCUCGUGUCGUGAGAUGUUGGGUUAAGUCCCGCAACGAGCGCAAACCCUUCGUUCUUUAGUUGCCAGCAUUAAGUUGGGCACUCUAGAGAGACUGCCGGUGACAAACCGGAGGAAGGUGGGGAUGACGUCAAGUCAGCAUGCCCCUUACGCUCUGGGCGACACACGUACUACAAUGGUCGGGACAGAGGGCA
rnacentral:rRNA from 1 species